rnacentral:rRNA from 1 species
AUUGAACGCUGGCGGCAUGCUUUACACAUGCAAGUCGAACGGUAACAGCACUUCGGUGGCUGACGAGUGGCGAACGGGUGAGUAAUACAUCGGAACGUGCCUAGUAGUGGGGGAUAACUACUCGAAAGAGUAGCUAAUACCGCAUGAGAUCUAAGGAUGAAAGCAGGGGACCUUCGGGCCUUGCGCUACUAGAGCGGCUGAUGGCAGAUUAGGUAGUUGGUGGGAUAAAAGCUUACCAAGCCGACGAUCUGUAGCUGGUCUGAGAGGACGACCAGCCACACUGGGACUGAGACACGGCCCAGACUCCUACGGGAGGCAGCAGUGGGGAAUUUUGGACAAUGGGCGCAAGCCUGAUCCAGCAAUGCCGCGUGCAGGAUGAAGGCCUUCGGGUUGUAAACUGCUUCUGUACGGAACGAAAAGCCCUCUUCUAAUACAGGAGGGUCAUGACGGUACCGUAAGAAUAAGCACCGGCUAACUACGUG